GAGUUAUUUUUUCUUUUUCUUUUGCAGCAAAUUUUUACAACUUUUUUGGUUUAAAUUACCUUGUGAGGGUCACCUAUCCCGGAGUUUUCUUUUUCUUUAUUUAUUGCACUGGAUCAUUCACUUGUGCUCAUCGGUCCCCUACGUAGAGCAUGCUUAGGCUAGAGCUGACUGCUAGAAUAAACUACUGAGGACAAUACUGAAA
rnacentral:lncRNA from 1 species